rnacentral:rRNA from 1 species
AAGCCAGACUCCUACGGGAGGCAGCAGUGGGGAAUAUUGCACAAUGGGGGAAACCCUGAUGCAGCGACGCCGCGUGAGCGAAGAAGUACCUCGGUAUGUAAAGCUCUAUCAGCAGGGAAGAAAGUGACAGUACCUGACUAAGAAGCCCCGGCUAACUACGUGCCAGCAGCCGCGGUAAUACGUAGGGGGCAAGCGUUAUCCGGAUUUACUGGGUGUAAAGGGGGCGCAGACGGCGAUGCAAGCCAGGAGUGAAAGCCCGGGGCCCAACCCCGGGACUGCUCUUGGAACUGCGUGGCUGGAGUGCAGGAGGGGCAGGCGGAAUUCCUGGUGUAGCGGUGAAAUGCGUAGAUAUCAGGAGGAACACCGGUGGCGAAGGCGGCCUGCUGGACUGCAACUGACGUUGAGGCCCGAAAGCGUGGGGAGCAAACAGGAUUAGAUACCCGGGUAAA